rnacentral:rRNA from 1 species
UACGUAGGGUGCGAGCGUUAAUCGGAAUUACUGGGCGUAAAGUGUGCGCAGGCGGCCGCGCAAGUCGAGUGUGAAAGCCCCGGGCUUAACUUGGGAAUUGCGCUCGAAACUACGUGGCUGGAGUGUGGCAGAGGAAGGUGGAAUUCCAGGUGUAGCGGUGAAAUGCGUAGAGAUCUGGAGGAACACCGAUGGCGAAGGCAGCCCCCUGGGCCAAUACUGACGCUCAUGCACGAAAGCGUGGGGAGCAAACAGG